rnacentral:rRNA from 1 species
GAUGAACGCUAGCGGCAGGCCUAAUACAUGCAAGUCGAGGGGUAGAGGAAGCUUGCUUUCUUGAGACCGGCGCACGGGUGCGUAACGCGUAUGCAGCCUACCUUUAUCAGGGGGAUAGCCCGGAGAAAUCCGGAUUAACACCGCACAAAAUCACAGCACAGCAUUGUUUCAUGAUCAAAUAUUUAUAGGAUAAAGAUGGGCAUGCGUGCCAUUAGCUAGUUGGCGGGGUAACGGCCCACCAAGGCGACGAGGGCUAGGGGCUCUGAGAGGAGCAUCCCCCACACUGGUACUGAGUCACGGACCAGACUCCUACGGGAGGCAGCAGUAAGGAAUAUUGGUCAAUGGGGGCAACCCUGAACCAGCCAUGCCGCGUGCAGGAAGACUGCCCUAUGGGUUGUAAACUGCUUUUGUACGGGAAUAACCACUGGUAUGUAUACCAGCCUGAAUGUACCGUAAGAAUAAGGAUCGGCUAACUCCGUGCCAGCAGCCGCCGUAAUAC